CUUAUUUAUCAGACCCGUAAUUUUCCUCCCUCCAUUGAAAUAGCUAUUGCCUCUUCUUUCCUGAUCCCUCCUCCAUUUUUACCCUUCUUUUUAAUCAAUAAAUUAAGAAACAAUCUAAAAUCUACAACUACAACUAUGAUUUUAUAAUUAUCUCUCUUCCCUAUUUCACUACAAGAAAUUUACCUUUUCGUGGCGAAUAUUUAGUACCAAAUAUAUAAUCGCUGUUAUAAAUCAAUAAUGUGUGUUAAAUCAUGUAGACAAUUAUAGCACUUUUAUAAUCGCUAUAUUAACCUUAAAUUAAUCAACACGAAAAACUAAUUAGAUAUUGUUCACGUAUGCCGCCUAUUUUUUCAGAAAUUGCGCUCAAGAUUUAUGUCUAAACUUUUCGCUCAAAACUCAAAAAAUUUCGCAAAUUUUUUUGAGUUCCCUCCAUCAUCAAUCUUCCGCAUUAUGAAAAUUAGGUGAAGAUUAUUUUUCUCUUCAUCCUCUAUAGGUGACACAAAAAACUCCAACCUCAAGUGAAGCGUGGGAUUCUUGGGAGAGGGUGUGAAUAAUUCGCGCAAAUAUUGAUCGGUUUCUCAUCUGAUUUCACGAAACCCCAUUUCAGGAACUGUUUCAUCACAAGUUCAAGGUAUUAAGAGAAAACUAAUUCGUCUACAGCUCCAGGAACAACCCAGCCAAGAGCUGAUCGCCGAGUUAAGGAAGCAUUAAUGCAUCUUAUUCGACACAGAUGGCGAUGGAUCUGAUUUAUUCUAGGAGCAGAAGGCAUGAAAUCCAGGAUCUGAUUUCUUCUGAUGCAGUUUCCAAAUUACUCACUGAAGCAUCACUUUCUCAUACAAUACAGGUAUUGCAUAUUCAAUCCUUGCUGUAGAGUUAGGUCUUAUUUUGGCAACCAGUCAAGCUCCUACUACUAAUGUAUAGCAGGUGCGGUACAGGAUGCGCUGCAUAUUGAAUAUGUUCACGGUG